CGUGCAGCAGACAACAUGCAACAAUAAGAAGUUUUCUAUCAUGAUUAAAAUUUAAGAUGGCUUUUUACAACUCAGUGUUCUGCAGGCCUUACAUUUAUAUGCCACUAAUGUGGAAACAGCAAAUAUGUAUUGGAAGAACCACAAGUGUUUUCUACAGCUUGUAGGACGGAAAAUGACCACGGGCAUUAAAUAUGGAGAAACCUGGAGCGUCUCAGAGAUGACAGUGAAUGAAUGAAGCAACGCAGACGAGACUCGGCGGUUUUACUUUGGACACAAAGGAUGGAAGAAGAGGAAGCUGGAGACAUCAUGUAUCCUCAAAGCAGCUGAUUGAGAUUCAUUUGACAGAAACAAGACAGAAACACAGUGAAGCUUUGCAUUGGCAUGGAGAAGGCCUGUGUUGUUGUGCUUCCUCUGUGUCUCUCAUCCUCUCUCUUCUGCUUUGUGUUCAUAUAGAGACAUCCAUACUGGAGACAGGAGGGAGAGAUUUUGGUCGUCUGCCUAUCUCCUCCUCACCAUGGCGCCCCUGAGACCGAAAGUCGUCUACAAAUCCAGAGUUUUCUUCCCCCCUCCACCCUGGCAGGCGCCACAGAGAAUGAAAACCACCAGACACAAGAACAGCUUCUUCCCCACUGCCGUCACCCUUUUAAACAGCUGAGCCACUCCUCCACACCCGUACAGUAUACUAUAUACCUACAGGUAUGUACAGCACUCUUUGCACUAAGAACAGCAUUCUCUGCUUUCUGCACUGUAUCAUCAUGUAGCAAUCAUCAUUUUGCACUACUGUGUUUAUUGAUUCCUUUCUAGAUUGUACAUACCUGUAUAUAUUGUGUCAUAUUUAUUUUUAUUACUACUAUUUUCUCCCCUGUUCAUCUUUCUGUAGCUUCUUUUUUAUUAUUAUUAUUCUCUUUCCUUAUUCCUAGGGUGACACCAACAGCCAAAACCAAACUCCUUGCAUGUUGUGUACAUACUUGACUCCUCUGUAACCUAAAAACACACACAGAAUCAGAGCGUUCAAGUCUAGACAAAGCUUCUAAAAAAAGAACUAUCCACCCUUUUAUUUCCAGCAGGUUGAGCUUUAACAGCCUUUUCUCAGAUCUCCCCCCAAAUAAACCCCUAAAGCUGAUAGGGUCCCGGCGAAGAAAACUGUAGUUUAAAAUACAGCCGCUUGUUUGGAAAAUCCCUGCAUGGUUAAAGAGCAUUUUUUCCUCCAGUAGCUUUUAUGAUGUGAGCUCUCUCGGUCUCUCGGGUCAUCUAGCAGAGGCUUCUUUUAGCUACACUGAAUAUGCACAGAAGAUUUACAAAACCUUUUAAAACCCAGAUAAAAAUUCUCUUGUUUUCUACUGAAUCGUAAGAACUAUUAUUCGGCAUGUGCAUAUCAUGAACUCACUUGAAUUUACUUUGUUUCAUCAUUGAAUUACAAUUAUCUAUAUGCCUCUAUCUUAACAGUGAGCAAUUUAAAUUUAUUGUGCUUUGUGAGUUUUGUAGAUCAUCUUGGUGUCAAAAUGACGGCGUGUCAGUAAACGCUCCUUCAGUUGCCUUCAUAUAAGCAAUUCAGUGCUUUUUUUAGUGAAAUAAAUCAGAUUAUAUCCAGUCACAGCGUUUGCUGGUUAUAGGGACUGAGUGGGGUAUAGCUUACUGUAUGUCACUUAUAGGUUUUGAAUCAUGUCAUUUGUCAUUUUCAGCCAGUUCCUCACAAACAUAAGGGUUCCUUCCUAUUUUUUAUAAUUUGUAACUGUCAAAUAAGUGCGUAUCAACCACUGGGAGAGAUUAAAUGAAAGAAAACCAUUGCUGGCAUCUGUUAAAAGACACUUUGAACACACCAUAGAAAAGGGAAAAAGAGAAUAAUGUGGUCUAAUCGAUUGUUUACCAGAUAAUAGCCUUGUCGUUACUUAUCUAACAGUACCUGCCUGAUUGAGUUUCACUUCCCUCAGGCUUUCCCACAACUCUAGUUUGAGCAAAAAAGAGAGAGCAGGCUUUAAAAAAAAAAAAAAACAA